rnacentral:rRNA from 1 species
UACGUAGGGUGCGAGCGUUGUCCGGAAUUAUUGGGCGUAAAGAGCUCGUAGGCGGUCUGUCGCGUUCUGCUGUGAAAACUCGGGGCUUAACCCCGGGCCUGCAGUGGGUACGGGCAGACUAGAGUGCGGUAGGGGAGACUGGAAUUCCGUGGUGUAGCGGUGAAAUGCGCAGAUAUCAGGAGGAACACCGGUGGCGAAGGCGGGUCUCUGAGCAGUAACUGACGCUGAGGAGCGAAAGCGUGGGGAGCGAACGGG